rnacentral:lncRNA from 1 species
CUGGGGACUUGUGUAUUACAAAAUAUUUUAAAUUAGUUUCAUUUGCUCUGGAUAUUGUAAAAUAAUUUAUAAUAAUUUCAAAAAAUGUAUUAAAGUACUUAGGUCCUCUCUCCUGUGAGUCAGUUUGUCUCUGUUCUCUCCGGUCAGGAUUGGUAUGGUUUGAACAAUGUUCUGUGUGUUCGCCCUUGGACAAGGAUCGUGUGAUCCUAUGGAAGGAGUAUGGGUUUCUGCAGAUGUGUCUCAUCAUUGAUAGAAGCCCCUGAGUAUCUUAGAGUUGAUGAUAAAGUGCAAAAGUUGCUUUCAGGACCACGCAUGCGUACCACAGCGAAGCUCUUGACGCUGACAAUGGCAGAGCUUGGUGAAACUGAGUUACAAAGCCUGGUGGCUGUCGAGCAGCAGAAGGCAGGGUUCACUGCGCAGGUGCAUCACUUCGUGGAACUAUGUUGAGAUAAGUGCAUGGAGAAGCCAGGAAAUCAGCUAGACUCCCGCACUGAAACUGCCUCUCUUGCUGUGUGGAUCACUUCAUUGACACUACUCUUGCCACCACCGGUCGGUUUGCCCAGAUCAUACAGAAAGGAAGGUAGUAGGCCUUUCCUCUAUCGGAGGGGCACUUCUGAGAACUUUGCGAGGAAUGAAAGACUGUAAAAAGUGGAGCGAGCCAAUAGUGAAGUCUCUCCACGGGCUCCGCCUGCCAGGCCCUCUGCAGUUCCAUGCUGGGACCCCGAACUCCAGCUUCCUUGUGGCAGGAUGGAGCCCCAGAAGACUGUGCUGUAGAUGGGCCACCAGGCUCGGCAUCGGGUUCCCCGGAUUUCUGCUUUGUCCAGUGUUGGGGUGUGGGCAAGUCGGGGCGUCCUGCAGGCUAGCAGCCCGGCUCACAGGGAAGCUGAAGACAGGUCCACCCAGGGAUCCCGGCUCUCUUCACCGGCCUGCCCAUGUCGGGCCUCCGCUCCCCUCCUUCCCGGCUCCCGCCUCCUCCCGCAGGCUGCAGGGCGGCCCGGGGCCUGCCUCUCCCAGCGCCUUCACUACCGGGUCAAGCCGCGGAGGGAGGGAGACGGCGGCGAAGCCCUCCCUGGCGCUCCACUCGGUGCGCGCGCCUCCUCCCUCGGC